UCUUGCAUAUUGAGAAGAAAGCCAGCUUGGCUGAAAGAACUCAAGCUCAGGGCUGCUGUGAUUAACAUAGAAGCAGUCACUGGUGUCUUGGCAAAAUUUAAGCAGAGCAAUGACACGCCAGGUCCAAUGAAACCAAUAGACUGCAUGAUCUUUCGGACUAAUGUGAGAGAAUAGCCUGCCUUGAUUAAGGAAUCUGAUGCUGCUCCUGCAAUGUAACCAGAAAUUGCCAUUGUUGCCCAUGGAACAGCACUAAACCAAGCUGCUUGCUUCAAGUUCACAUUAAAUACUGUCUUGAAAUAGACAGGCAUCCAUGAGAGAAGAACAAAGUACCCCCAAUUGUUAGUUACAUUAGCAAAAAUAAUUGCCCAUGUUGGUAGUUCCGAGAAUAGGAGGCGUAGUGGUGGAAGCUCGCCUUUGUUUGUUGAAGAAUCAGUUUUACCAGCUUCAAUUAAUCGCAACUCUGAUUUACUGAUAAAUGGGCUAUUUCGUGGAUCACUGGUAACUCCACUUGCCCAUGUUGUUAACCAUAGGAGACCAAGGGAAGAGAAUAGAAUAAAAGGACCAGAAAUUCCAAUAGU
rnacentral:misc_RNA from 1 species